rnacentral:rRNA from 1 species
GACGAACGCUGGCGGCGUGCUUAACACAUGCAAGUCGAACGGAAAGGCCCUGCUUUUGUGGGGUGCUCGAGUGGCGAACGGGUGAGUAACACGUGAGUAACCUGCCCUUGACUUUGGGAUAACUUCAGGAAACUGGGGCUAAUACCGGAUAGGAGCUCCUGCUGCAUGGUGGGGGUUGGAAAGUUUCGGCGGUUGGGGAUGGACUCGCGGCUUAUCAGCUUGUUGGUGGGGUAGUGGCUUACCAAGGCUUUGACGGGUAGCCGGCCUGAGAGGGUGACCGGCCACAUUGGGACUGAGAUACGGCCCAGACUCCUACGGGAGGCAGCAGUGGGGAAUAUUGCACAAUGGGCGGAAGCCUGAUGCAGCAACGCCGCGUGCGGGAUGACGGCCUUCGGGUUGUAAACCGCUUUCGCCUGUGACGAAGCGUGCGUGACGGUAAGGGGUAAAGAAGCACCGGCUAACU